rnacentral:lncRNA from 1 species
AAUGCUUCCAGAGGUUAUUGAAAGAAAUGACAGCAGGCUUUAGAAACUGGAAGUAUGGCUGAGAGCAAUGUUAUUAGCAGAGAAUUGUCUUCCUUGCAGGAGAAUUUGGUGAUUUUUGGUCAAAGUAAACAUAAGAAUUCCUCCACAAAGAUUUGAAGCCUCUGUCCAGGAUGACGUCUGUUUUUUCUUUGGGACCAUGGACUCGAGGAGUGUUUCCCUUUUGGGUUUUGAUGGACAGAAAGACAAUGACAAUUCUUGUGUCUAUAGAGACCAGGAAGCUUAGAUUCUCACACUGUUUUCUUGCACUACAUGAUGACCAGUGAUACGACUAAUGAUAAUGGUGUGACUUCAGAGGUCACCAUUCCAGGGGCGAACAAUCAGGUUGAAGAAGAAGAAGAAGGUGGGUCUUCCUUGCAGGCAUUGGUUGGAGAGCAGCCAGAUCCCGGGAUCCUUUUGGAAAGGGGGUAGUCUGGGAUGUUGAGCAGGCAGCUCUUUCCCAGUCAUAGUGAUGCCCUGUGGUACAUGCCCUGGACACAAGUCUAUUGUGUUGAUUCCUUGGGUUGUGACACAUUUGGAGGGAUAGGGAGUGAGAUCCAUGUGUGAGCACAUGUGGUGUAAGUAUCUGUUUCCUCAUGAGCUCUCUCCUAUUUAUACAGAAUAUACAUCUCUCAACUUUCCUUAAGAAACAUCCCAUCACCUCUACAUACCGCCUCUACAGGCAUGCGUUCAUCCCUCACUGCCGCUGUUCCCAAUGGUGCAGAGACAGUUGGCCCAAGCUCUUGCCCUCCUACGUGGGAAAGCCAAAGUGGGACCCAGGCUGGGUUCCCUAUGGGGAUGCUCUGGACCCCCACCUUACACCUCUCCCUCAGCCAGGAUUUGAUCAUUCAUGGGGAGCACGGAGCGGGGAGGGUCCCUGCUCUGUGUCUAUGAUGGGAAUACCAGGGUCUCCAGAGGUCCUGUCCACGCUGUGCAUUUUAAAAGGUCCCUGCCAGUGCUGCUGUCAUUGCUUCAACAUGGCCAAAGCAGAUGGGAAUCGGAGAGGCGUAUUCUUGUAUUGGACAGUGUCACUGUCAUUCUCGCACUUGACCACCCUAGGUAGCACACACCCAGGUGAUGUUGCAAGUAAGAGCUCAGAGUUCACCCUCAUCCUUAGCCUGGUGUGCGGCACCAUUGUACAAACUCGCUGCCCAUCUGGGUGAGAAGGACUCCGUGCUCCCUCUGUGUUUCUCUCCAUGAAGUAAGCCCCUCUUGUUGUAAGACUCUUGUUAGUGUGGCUAUACAUUUAAUCAGGGCACAUGCUGCACACACCAUGUAGAAAAUGAAGCCUGGAGAACAACCAUGAUGUGAAUGAUAGUGGCUUUUUUUUUCUAUUUAUUUUUUAUUUUUUUUCAUUUUUUUAUUACUCAAAUGAAUUUAUCACAUCUGUAGGUGUAUAAUGAUCAUAACAAUCUGAUUUCACAGGAUUUCCAUCCCACAGCCCAAGCACAUCCCCUCACCCCCAAAACUGUCUCCUCCAGAGACCAUAAGUUUUUCAAUGUCUGUGAGUCAGCAUCUGUUCUGCGAAGAAGUUCCAUCUGUCCUUUUUUCAGAUUCCACCUGUCAGUGAAAGCAUUGGAUGUUGGUGUCUUAUUGUAUGGCUGACUUCACUUAGCAUGAUAGUUUCUAGGUCCAUCCAUGUUGCAAAAAAAUGCUUGUAUUUUUUUCUUUUUGAUGGCUGAGUAAUACUCCAUUGUGUAUAUGGACCGCAUCUUCUGGAUCCACUCCUCUGUCGAUGGACAUUUAGGUUGUUUCCAUGUCUUGGCUAUUGUAAAUAGUGCUGCAAUGAACAUCAGAGUACAUGUGUCUUUGCGAGUCAUGGUUUUCUCUGGAUAGAUGCCCAGGAGUGGGAUUGCUGGAUCAAAUGGAAGUUCUAUGUUUAGUUUUCUGAAGAAUCUCCAAACUGCUUUCCACAAUGGUCACACCAAUUUACAACCCCACCAACAGUGUACUAGGGUUCCUUUUUCUCCACACCCUCUCCAGCACUUAUUGUGUGUAGACUUUUGGAUGAUGGCCAUUCUGGCUGGUGUAAGGUGAUAUGAUAGUGGCUGUUUUUAAUGGUAAGAUUUCAGUAUUGUCAGUUCGUCUAUAUUAAAUUAUCUUAAAGAGCAGUAUUUUGUGAAUCCAUUUAUUAGCAUGCUUUUCCUGGAAAUCAGCCUUCCA